rnacentral:rRNA from 1 species
UAGGGAAUCUUCGGCAAUGGACGGAAAGUACUGACCGAGCAACGCCGCGUGAGUGAAGAAGGUUUUCGGAUCGUAAACUCUGUUGGUAGAGAAGAACGUUGGUGAGAGUGGAAAGCUCAUCAAGUGACGGUAACUACCCAGAAAGGGACGGCUAACUACGUGCUAG